rnacentral:rRNA from 1 species
AUCUCAAAUCAGGUAGGACUACCCGCUGAACUUAAGCAUAUCAAUAAGCGGAGGAAAAGAAACUAACAAGGAUUCCCCUAGUAACUGCGAGUGAAGCGGGAAGAGCUCAAAUUUAAAAUCUGGCGUGCCUCUGGUCGUCCGAGUUGUAGUCUGGAGAAG